CCUACGGGAGGCAGCAGUGAGGAAUAUUGGUCAAUGGGCGAGAGCCUGAACCAGCCAAGUCGCGUGAGGGAGUACUGCCCUAUGGGUUGUAAACCUCUUUUGUCGGGGAGCAAAAUCCGGACGUUUCCCGCUGUGAGAUUACCCGAAUAAAAAGCAUCGGCUAACCCCGUGCCAGCAGCCGCGGUAAUACGGGGGAUGCGAGGGUUAUCCGGGUUUAUUUGGUUUAAAGGGUGCGCAGGCGGAUUUUUAAGUCAGCGGUCAAAUCGUGGGGCUAAACCCCAUCCAGCCGUUGAAACUGGGGAUCUAGAGUGUGCGAGAGGUAGGCGGAAUGCGUGGUGUAGCGGUGAAAUGCAUAGAUAUCACGCAGAACCCCGAUUGCGAAGGCAGCAUGCCGGGGCACAACUGACGCUCAGGCACGAAAGCGUGGGUAUCGAACAGGAUUAGAUACCCCAGUAGUC
rnacentral:rRNA from 1 species